GGUACACACGGCGCGUCGGCGCCACGCAUCCCGCCCAGCCUGGGACGUCAGUCCUGACGUCACUACACUGAGCGUGUGUUUCCCAUCUCAGCUGAGGUUGCCAGGACUAUAGGGUGGACGCUGUGGGCGGUUCCCGCCCGCGGCGACACCCUCCUACGGCGUACCUCUAGCCCUCGUGACGCUGACGGCACGUUGGCGUGCACAGCUGUGAGGCGGCUAUUUAAAGGUCCUCCCUGUAAAUCCCAAUGUCUAUGAGCUGUAACAAGCUAUACCACAGUAUCUCUCCUGCUGGUUCUCCGGGAAUUUUGGACGCCUCUACUAGGUUAUUAUACCUAUCCAUUUAUUUGGGCUGGUUGUCCUUCGUUCUCUUAUAUUUAUUAAUUGUCUGUUAUUACUAUUAUUACUAUAGAUCCCAGCUGGCUAUUCCUAUUGGUUUUUGCUCUUGCUGUAUAUUCCAUACAUGCUCAACCCUAUGAUAUUUGCUGUGGGAGGAUUCCUUGCUGCUCCUUCUUGUGUGCGCUUUACUGCCGCCUCAGCUCCCGAGACGGACAUAUCCCUUUGGCCGUGGCUCCAUGUAUACCGCAUUCACUUAUUUUUGAUUCCAUAUAAGCCAAGCAUCUGCCCCUGAAGAGUGUGACACACACGAAACGCGUCGGGCCAAUACGGAUGCUAUAUAUUUUAUUACAAUAUUCUAAUUGAUCUGAUCAUAUUUAUACAUGCUUUUACCAGUCGUUUUUACCUUUACAUAUUCGCCUAGACUGUUACCUUGACAUCUGUACAUAUGUAUAUUCACCCCAUGCACUCAUUUAUCCAUGCGGAUGAUCAUGUGACAUCCGGUCAAGCAUUGUUGUAUCUCUGCUACCCCCAUUGUAUCUGCACAUAUUAUGUGCUCUAAUAUGAGGUAAUGUCAUUUAUAUCUGAAAUGUAUGUAUUUCAUUUACACGACCUCUGGAUGUUGAUAGGUGUUUUGCAAAUGUGUGACCAAUAAAUCUGUACGUUUUUUACUACCCGC